CGAGAGGUGCAAGCGUUAUUCGGAAUUAUUGGGCGUAAAGGGUGCGUAGGCGGUAUGAUAAGUCUGUUGUUAAAUAUCCUGGCUCAACCAGGAAAAUGCAAUGGAAACUAUUGUUCUAGAGGGUGAGAGAGAGAAGUGGAAUUCCAGGAGUUAGCGGUCAAAUGCGUAGAUCUCUGGAGGAACACCGAUGGCGAAGGCAGCUUCUUGGCUCAUUUCUGACGCUGAGGCACGAAAGCGUGGGGAGCAAACAGGAUUAGAUACCCUGGUAGUCCACGCUGUAAACGAUGAUCACUAGAUGUUGGUUCGGCUUGCCGGAUCAGUGUCGUAGCUAACGCGUUAAGUGAUUCGCCUGGGAAGUACGGUCGCAAGACUA
rnacentral:rRNA from 1 species